rnacentral:rRNA from 1 species
CCGUAAAUCUACCGGAGGAAAAGCUCCUCGCAAGCAGCUGGCCACCAAGGCUGCCAGAAAAUCCGCCCCUGCUACAGCUAUGAGAAACAUGUUCAUAGUUUUACCUGCCCAGUGUAAGUUUAAUUAUAAAUGGCCGCGGUACACUGACCGUGCUAAGGUAGCGUAAUCAGUUGGCUUUUAAAUGGAGUCAGGAAUGAAUGGAAUAACCGGGUUUAGCUGUCUCUAGACUAUUGAAUUGAAUUUACUGUUUAAGUGAAAAAGCUUAAUAGAGAAAAAGGGACGAGAAGACCCUUAGAAUUUUUUUUAAAUCAAUAGCUCAAAUUAUUGUAAUGAUUUUGUUGGGGUGACAUAGGAAUAGUGAGAACUUCCUUUAAAAACAAGCCGAAAGUGUUAAGUCAGAAUAAAUUACCUGAGGGAUAACAGCAUAAUUCUAAAAAUGAGUUUGUGACCUCGAUGUUGGACUAGGAAACUAAUGGGCUAGCCGUUCAUUGUGUUGGUUCUGUUCGAACUAUAAUUCCU